rnacentral:rRNA from 1 species
CAAUAGCGUAUAUUAAAGUUGUUGCAGUUAAAAAGCUCGUAGUUGGAUUUGUGGCGUACGGUAUGUUCCGGGCACUUGUUGUCUGAGUAACCUGCUGUUGCCAUCCUUGGGUGGAACCUGUGUGGCAUUAGGUUGUCGUGCAGGGGAUGCCCAUCAUUUACUGUGAAAAAAUUAGAGUGUUCAAAGCAGGCUUAUGCCGUUGAAUAUAUUAGCAUGGAAUAAUGAGAUAGGACUUUUUUGCUAUUUUGUUGGUUUGCGCAAAGAGGUAAUGAUUAAUAGGGACAGUUGGGGAUAUUCGUAUUCCAUUGUCAGAGGUGAAAUUCUUGGAUUUUUGGAAGACGAACUACUGCGAAAGCAUUUACCAAGGAUGUUUUCAUUAA